GGAUGUGAGGGUGAUCUGGCUGUGACAUCUGUCACCCCACUGAUCUCCAGGGUUGAUUCAGCUGAUCUGGUUGGCUAGGCGGGUACUUCUUUUCUCUCCUGUGUCCCUCCGGAAGCUGUGCACUUGGUGGAAGAGGAUAGUCUUCCUGUUAUGGAAGGACCAUUUCCUAGGUCAAGGGUAUAUGAGUAGCGGCACUCCCUGCUAGAACCUCCAAACAAGCUCCCAAAUUAACUGAGGUGGGUGGAUCUUGGAACAGAGGCAGAGGCCUAUAGUU
rnacentral:snRNA from 1 species